rnacentral:tRNA from 1 species
GGGAAUGUGGCUUAGUGGUAGAGUGCUUGCCUAGCAUGCAUAAAGCCCAGGGUUCAAUUCCUCAGUACCA